rnacentral:rRNA from 1 species
UACGUAGGGGGCGAGCGUUGUCCGGAUUUAUUGGGCGUAAAGAGCGUGUAGGCGGCCAGGUAGGUCUGCUGUGAAAACUCGAGGCUCAACCUCGAGACGUCGGCGGAAACCAUCUGGCUAGAGUCCGGAAGAGGAGAGUGGAAUUCCUGGUGUAGCGGUGAAAUGCGUAGAGAUCCGGAGGAACACCGACGGCGUAGGCAGCGCCCUGGACGACACCUGACGCUGAGGCACGAAAGCUGGGGGAGCGAACAGG